UUCUCAGGAGAAUCAUCACUAAUAUCGUCUUUACACAAGAUUGAUGUGAGAGCUCAGGGGGACAAGGCUGCUCAGAGGGACAAGGCCUUUCUGGGCUCAACUGUACCAAGAGCAGCAGGCAGGAAGCGUCAGUUGUUGGGUACAGAUAACAAAAUCGAGGAUUGAGAAAUCGACUCUUCUGUUUUUUCUUGAUUUACUUAUUUUAAUUAUAUAUAUAUAUAAUUGUUUUUCCUGCACAUAUGUCCAUGUGAGGGUGUUGAAUGCCCUAAAGCUGAAGUUACAGAUGGUUGUGAGCUUCUAUGUGGGUGCUGGCAAUUGAACCCUGCUCUUUUGGGAGAACAGUCAGUUCUCUUAACCACUGAGCCAUCUCUCCAGCCCAGAAAAUGGCUGAAGUUUCAGCACUGCCAUCAGGAGUCCAGGCAGACCUGCACUCUCUACCUUGUCACCUACCUCCUCUACAAGCUAUCCAAGGGGUUCACUAUGGGCUCUCUCUUUCUGGGACUUCCUGCUGGGUUCAAUGAAAGCCCUCAGACACUGGUGGGGGGAAGGAAGGCCAGAACCCCUGCUUCCAUUCCUGGUACUGAGCUAACAGAUUCUUGGGCAAGACCAGCAGGGGGUCAUGGUACACCAACACUUAAUUGCUCCAGAAUUGUCUUGUGGCUUUGAGGUUUAGAUCGGAAUCAACAGAGGAAGGGCAGCCGGAAAGCUUGGCCCAGGUCCCUGCAGCGCUAGGAAGCUAAGGUAUUUGAAACACGGACCUGGGAUGUGCAGCAUAGACGCCUUUGGGAAGCUAUGGGAGGAGCUGGAAGCUCCCAGUCCUCCAAGCCCUUAGAGGUCCUGAAUGUGGUGUUCCUGGGGUGGGGUGGGGUGAGGCACUUCUUUACUGAGGUCGAGCUUCGUUCACUUACCUGCUCUGUAGACCGGAACAACUUCAGGCACUAAGGGAUCAGGUGGCUUGGGCAUACCAUAAGAAACAAAUGGAUACAAGAAGCUCUGGGAACAGAUAGAGGGCGGGCGGGCUCAGUGGGUAAAGGUGCU
rnacentral:lncRNA from 1 species